AUGCAAAUCCAGGAGGAAACAAACUCCCGGUUACAAUUUCCUGACCGUCACCACCUUCCCAUGGCAGCCACGUGCCGGGAAGACCCCUGCGUUUCUCAAGUCGCCCCCCCCGGCCAGGAAAUGCCUCUUAGAGAUGUCGUCCUUACAGCUACCUGCCAUUCAUUGAUUUGUUCAUUCAUUCCUUCCUCGCUCUGUCCGGGCCCUGCACCGUGUGGCCUGGGUGUAGGGAAGGAGGCAGCUCCGCCUGUGGAGAUGAGGACCCCACCCCGUCUAGUGCCUGCUGGAGGUGUCCAGGUGCCCUGCCGAGAUGGCCGCUUUCCCCUGGGAAAGGAGCAGCUGCCUGGCCCGGGAACAAAUCAAAGCCGAGGCUCACUGCCCACAAUGGGCAGUGGGUCAGCGGGCUCCCCAGGCCAGUGUGUGGCCCAGCCUGGCCCCUCAGGACAGUCACCUUGAAGGAGACCAGCAUCCCAGACCCACUUGGGGCCCUGCCAGGAGUCUGCGUGGAGAUAACAGAGAUCAGCCCAGCCCUCGCGACAGCACCUCGGCAUCCUGGAGUGCUUUCUCCGGAGGCAGCGGCCCUGGGGGGCGGGCGGCCCGGGAGGCAGGUAUGGCCCCGGCACUGCGGCUGUGCGGUUCCCUUCGCUGA
rnacentral:lncRNA from 1 species